UACGGAGGAGGCAAGCGUUAUCCGGAAUUAUUGGGCGUAAAGCGUCCGUAGGUGGGUGAGGAAGUCUGCUGUUAAAGAGUGAGGCUUAACCUCAUAAGGGCAGUGGAAACUCUUCGUCUAGAGUGCGACAGAGGCAAGGGGAAUUCCUAGUGUAGCGGUGAAAUGCGUAGAGAUUAGGAAGAACACCGGUGGCGAAAGCGCCUUGCUGGGUCUGCACUGACACUGAGGGACGAAAGCUAGGGGAGCGAAAGGG
rnacentral:rRNA from 1 species